rnacentral:tRNA from 1 species
GGGGCAGUAGCUCAGUGGUGCAGCCCCCCGCCUCGCACGUGGGGAGACCUGGGCUCGAUUCCCGGUUGCUUCC